UACCAGCACUCCGAGUGGUCGGGACGAUUAUUGGGCCUAAAGCAUCCGUAGCCGGUUCUGCAAGUCCCCCGUUAAAUCCAGCUGCUCAACAGAUGGGCCGCGGAGGAUACUACAGAGCUAGGAGGCAGGAGAGGCAAGCGGUACUCAGUGGGUAGGGGUAAAAUCCGUUGAUCCAUUGAAGACCACCAGUGGCGAAGGCGGCUUGCCAGAAUGCGCUCGACGGUGAGGGAUGAAAGCUGGGGGAGCAAACGGG
rnacentral:rRNA from 1 species